rnacentral:rRNA from 1 species
UACAGAGGUCCCAAGCGUUGUUCGGAUUCACUGGGCGUAAAGGGUGCGUAGGCGGUCGGGUAAGUCUGAUGUGAAAUCUCACAGCUUAACUGUGAAACUGCAUUGGAUACUAUUCGGCUUGAGAGUUGGAGGGGGGACUGGAAUUCUCGGUGUAGCAGUGAAAUGCGUAGAUAUCGAGAGGAACACCAGUGGCGAAGGCGGCUCACUGGCCCGGUACUGACGCUGAUGUGCGAAAGCGUGGGGAGCAAACAGG